CCCUUUAUGGGGCAAGUAACCAUAUUUAGUCACUUCCGCACACAUUCAAAGUGCCCUCCCCCUGCCUUCAUUUGGAAUAGUAGAGUCAUGUAGUUUUCUCUUAGCCGAUCAGGGGAGAUCAAGCUAUCUCACGGAUAUUAACAUCAAGGCAUCUGACCAAUCAGUAGUGGCCUGGAGCACCUCAAACACAGCCAUCUUCCAGAAAUCAAAAAUAUUACUUUUUUGAACCUGGCUUCUCCCACAGCAAUAGUUAUAACAUCAUAACUAAACAUGCUGUCUGCUCGGCAGCUGAGAAGAGGGGUACCAUUGUUGUUCCUGUAAACCCAGUCAAGCCAGUAUCAGUACCGCAAGACCAUGUCUCUAAAUAAAUGUUCCUUGCAGCUUGUGCCUAUAAUAAAUAAA